rnacentral:rRNA from 1 species
AGUCGAGCGRAUCUUYGGGAGCUUGCUCCYAAAGRUUAGCGGCGGACGGGUGAGUAACACGUGGGCAACCUACCUUACAGAUGGGGAUAACUCCGGGAAACCGGGGCUAAUACCGAAUAAUCCAUYURUUCGCAUGAAGAGAUGUUGAAAGACGGUUUCGGCUGUCACUGUGAGAUGGGCCCGCGGCGCAUUAGUUAGUUGGUGGGGUAACGGCCUACCAAGACCACGAUGCGUAGCCGACCUGAGAGGGUGAUCGGCCACACUGGGACUGAGACACGGCCCAGACUCCUACGGGAGGCAGCAGUAGGGAAUCUUCCACAAUGGACGAAAGUCUGAUGGAGCAACGCCGCGUGAGUGAAGAAGGUUUUCGGAUCGUAAAGCUCUGUUGUAAGGGAAGAACACGUACAGGAGUAACUGCCUGUACCUUGACGGUACCUUACCAGAAAGCCACGGCUAACUACGUGCCAGCAGCC